GACGAACGCUGGCGGCGUGCUUAACACAUGCAAGUCGAACGAUGAAGCCGGAGCUUGCUCUGGUGAAUUAGUGGCGAACGGGUGAGUAACACGUGAGUAACCUGCCCUUGACUCUGGGAUAACUGCUAGAAAUGGUAGCUAAUACCGGAUACGACCCUCGGCGGCAUCGCCAGGGGGUGGAAAGAAUUUCGGUCAAGGAUGGACUCGCGGCCUAUCAGCUAGUUGGUGAGGUAACGGCUCACCAAGGCGACGACGGGUAGCCGGCCUGAGAGGGUGACCGGCCACACUGGGACUGAGACACGGCCCAGACUCCUACGGGAGGCAGCAGUGGGGAAUAUUGCACAAUGGGCGCAAGCCUGAUGCAGCAACGCCGCGUGAGGGAUGACGGCCUUCGGGUCGUAAACCUCUUUUAGUAGGGAAGAAGCGAAAGUGACGGUACCUGCAGAAAAAGCACCGGUUAACUACGUGCCAGCAGCCGCCGUAA
rnacentral:rRNA from 1 species